UACGAUCCAGGGGAACAAACUGUGCAGACAUCUCUAGCCUGCUGCUAUGCCUAUCUGCUUCAGUUGCAUCAGCUGCUGUUACAAGAGCCAGGGCUGGAAGAUUACCAAUGGGCUGGACCAGGAGUCCGAGGAAGAGCUUGGAAGCCCCUACUCCAAGGCAGAAGUUGUGCUGCUGAUUGCAGAUGGCCAGGGUGACCUGUCUUCUGUGGAUAUUUCUCUCAGUUCUGACUUUGGCUGAAUGUUCCAGAAAACAGAAGUAUUCAUCAGCCUCUUCAACUUCCAGGAGAAAUCUGAAAGGAGCGUUAAGAAGGUUCUUAAACAAGGAGUUUAUGGGAAUCUGUGACAGCUAUCAACAACAUCACACUCUCAGACGAAUAAUACUCUUCUCUCCAAUCUUUCUCAUCUUAUAGCAACAUAACAAUGACUGCUCUUUUCUUUUCUUAUAUAUCUCCUUUGGAAGAUCGGAUGCCCCAUGAUUAAAUGAAACAGCAU